UGCAUGUUUUGGCGGGUUUUUCCUCAAAUUUUCAUCAUCUAACAUAAGAAAAUGAGCAUUGCCCGCGCAUAUCUUCCUUCUUGCGCGUCUUUCUCUGUCCCUCUCUCUGCUUCACUCUUUUCAUCUCUGCUUCACUCUUCCCCUCUGUUCAUGCUUCUCAGGUUGUCGUGUUCAAGGAGUGAAGCGACGGUGAGUUGAAAACCCUCGGGCCUCUACUGGUGUAUCUCUCUUCAAGAAACAGGACAUUUACAAUCAAGUGAUCAGCAUAUCAUUGUCUUGCAGAUUCAUAUACACAAAGAUCGGGCACCAAAAAGAAAAUGAUCUCAAACAAAUCGAGUGUAGCAAGUCCCAAAUUCUCAAUUAAAUGGGGAAGUUGAAGAACAAGAGACUGAAACACAACAACCACAGCAAUCUCAUUUGCAAUACCCUCAAGCUUCUCAACCCUAAGUAGACCCUACACCCUCUCAUCAUUCUUAGGAGGAAACUGAAGACCAAUUACCUCCACAAGCAGAGUCCUCACAGCACAAGAAAACAAGAGGCCCAACUUUUUGUAAAGAUGUGUAUAAAAUGAAUGAUAAUGAGCGUAUUUCUAUAUCUUUGUAUGGUCAGCCAGAAGAUGGAAAAUUGUCCCAGUUUAUUGGCACAAUAGCAUGUAAUGGAAAUAUUGUACCUGUUGAUGUGGAUAGCUGGAAGAAAGUAUUGAAUACAACUAAAGAUCGUGCCUAGGGUUUUAUCAAGGAUAAGUUCGAUGUUUCAGAUGAUCAUAAAGAAUGGUGCUUAAAGGACCUAAAUGCAAAAUGGAAGAUAUGGGAAUGUAUUUUAUAUUGAGAUUUUUAUAAGCCCGAAGUUCCAAUAACGGAACAACUUACUCCCCCAAUGGAUCAUGUUGUUAAAGAGCAGUGGGUAAAUUUGCUUCAAAUGUGGCAAUA